GCUCAGUGGUCUAGCGAUUAGGAUUUCGUGCUCGAGACCGAAGGUCCAGGGUUCGAAUCCCGCAUGCGGGAUUG
rnacentral:tRNA from 1 species